UACGUAGGCAGCAAGCGUUGUUCGGAGUUACUGGGCGUAAAGGGUGUGUAGGCGGGCGGUUAAGUCUGCGGUGAAAUCCUCCAGCUCAACUGGAGAACUGCCGUGGAUACUGGCUGUCUCGAGGAAGGUAGGGGCGUGUGGAACUAUCGGUGGAGCGGUGAAAUGCGUUGAUAUCGAUAGGAACUCCGGUGGCGAAGGCGACACGCUGGACCUUUUCUGACGCUGAGGCGCGAAAGCCAGGGGAGCAAACGGG
rnacentral:rRNA from 1 species